rnacentral:rRNA from 1 species
CACGUAGGGGGCGAGCGUUGUCCGGAUUUAUUGGGCGUAAAGAGCUCGUAGGCGGUUUCGUAAGUCGGGUGUGAAAACCCCAGGCUCAACCUGGGGACGCCACCCGAGACUGCGAUGACUAGAGUCCGGUAGGGGAGCGUGGAAUUCCAGGUGUAGCGGUGAAAUGCGUAGAUAUCUGGAGGAACACCGGUGGCGAAGGCGGCGUUCUGGACUGCAACUGACACUGAAAGACGAAAGCCAGGGGAGCAAACGGG